AGUGCAUAAUCAUGAAUAGAAGUUGUUUAUAUUGAAUUCUGGAGAAUUACCACACGACCCACAAACUUGAAGUAAGAAAGGUGCUCGGUUUGAUAUACAGAAUUAGGGUUUGGCUGGAAAGUUGCAUUACUCCCCACAGUAGUAAAAAGCAAUGCUCCCUUGUCAAAAAUAACCCUUGACAGUAGUUGAUACCAUUCUCUGGUCAAACCCCCAGCAUCAAUACCCUCUUCACCCUGGAACUGUACAUUUAACCGUCCCUUAAGAUCCAGACUAGGUCGCAUCCUUAACUGAUUAUAUGAAUCCUCCAAGACAUAUGCCCGCCGAACACUGAUCCGCAAAGGGCCAGAGAGGUGUUGCUCAUGCUGCUGCCUUAUUCUCGAGCGGAAAUAAGCCCUCUUGUUGUCAAAAUCAAUCAGUCUGGGUACUUUCAACAUCAUAGAAAGUGAUUUCUCCAACAAGCCAGGAUUCUGUCUAAUAAAAGUAUUCAAUAGCCUACGAUGCUUCUCAGCAAACCUAGCAAAUGUGACAGAACCGUCAAGCUUUCUCUGAGAAUCUGUACUGCAUGUGGUCAAUGAAACCGAACCCCCGGCAGACUCUUUGACUUCUCUUGCAGUUACAUCAGCAUGAUCUUGCUGCAUGAAAGAAUUGUUCACUUGCAGCUUUUCACACAAAACAAAGAAUGCUUCAAUAAAAGGCAGUAAUCUCUGGGUUCCAGGAGGAAGAGGAGAUGAAGAAGUUCCCUGCACAUGGUCCCCCAAAUUUAUGUGUGACAUGGUUGGACUGAAAGAGCUCUGACCCAACUGCGUCUCAGUAACACUUAUGCAUUCACUCAGUUCUCGCCACAAAGGCUCAAGUGCAAUAUUCAAGUUCCACAUGGUGGUGGCCUGCUCCUCCUGUCCUCCAUCACCCUCAAGCUCAAUAUUCUCAUUAGUACUGGCUGAAAUGAGUGAACUGAGCGCCUGUAAUACACGCAGAAUUGCAGCACCAGCCAUGGAGCCAGCACUAAGACCCAGCAUCUGUGUAUUCCUCAGAGUGACAAGCUCACUGACUGCUGAACUGCUCAAACCAUGGGCCAAUUCUGAAAGCUCUGAAGUAAAAAACUUUCUAUGAGAUGCAGCAACUGAGGCCAAUUUCUUCAGCACUUCUCCAGCUAGCAUGUAAACUUUAUCUGACAGCCUGAAUUGGUUAACAGACAAGGUUAGUUAUUCAUUUACUUCAUUGCAUCAGUAAAAAUAGAGUGACCAAAUGUUUGAAGGGAGAGAGGGAAACAAAUCGAAAAAAAAAAAAAAAAAAGAGAAGAAAGCUUUGUAAUAGUCAGGAUCGACUGCCUCUAUGUCAUGGUAGGUCACCUUUACUCCAAGAAUGUGCUUGUAGAAAGACCGUGUAAAAUAAACAUCCAAAAGUUGCCCAUCAAAUAGUGCCUUUGCAACCUACACAAGUGACCAUAACAAAAACUUCAAAAAAUCUAUUCCACAAUACACCACAAAAACAAAAGUGCAUAAUCAUGAAUAGAAGUUGUUUAUAUUGAAUUCUGGAGAAUUACCACACGACCCACAAACUUGAAGUAAGAAAGGUGCUCGGUUUGAUAUACAGAAUUAGGGUUUGGCUGGAAAGUUGCAUUACUCCCCACAGUAGUAAAAAGCAAUGCUCCCUUGUCAAAAAUAACCCUUGACAGUAGUUGAUACCAUUCUCUGGUCAAACCCCCAGCAUCAAUACCCUCUUCACCCUGGAACUGUACAUUUAACCGUCCCUUAAGAUCCAGACUAGGUCGCAUCCUUAACUGAUUAUAUGAAUCCUCCAAGACAUAUGCCCGCCGAACACUGAUCCGCAAAGGGCCAGAGAGGUGUUGCUCAUGCUGCUGCCUUAUUCUCGAGCGGAAAUAAGCCCUCUUGUUGUCAAAAUCAAUCAGUCUGGGUACUUUCAACAUCAUAGAAAGUGAUUUCUCCAACAAGCCAGGAUUCUGUCUAAUAAAAGUAUUCAAUAGCCUACGAUGCUUCUCAGCAAACCUAGCAAAUGUGACAGAACCGUCAAG
rnacentral:lncRNA from 1 species